AUCAUGUUCCCGUGUGUUUUGUGAGUAUUCAGUCAAAGAAGUUAGGUUGUUCUCCAGAAUUGGCUCUCUCCUAAAGGUCAAAAC
rfam:Oryctolagus cuniculus cont2.61187, whole genome shotgun sequence.